AAAAUGGCUUUAUUCAAAGCCAUGGUUUCGGUUCAAUUACGUUAAAU
rfam:Dufourea novaeangliae contig3210, whole genome shotgun sequence.